GUCAUUGUAGGUCAGUGGUAGACCUCUAGACUGGCACUUGUGAGGCACUGGGUUUAAUCCUCAGCACUGCACA
rnacentral:tRNA from 1 species